rnacentral:lncRNA from 1 species
GGAGCACUCAGCGCCACUCUGAGGGAAGCAUUCCGGGGAGGCAGCAAGACACAAAGAAAGGACUGGGACCACAGCUGGCUUCCGAGGGUGGGGAGCAGAGAAACGAUGCUGGCAUCCCACCACUGAGAGGGGCAUCUUCAGCCCUGAGGAGGAGGUGUCCCCACAGCAAGCUUGAGGACAGAUGAGACUGUGGGCCCUUGCUAACAAGCCCUUGGCCACAUGGUGGGGACAACUUUUGAGACCUGUCCUAGAGUGUGAGCUCUAGUAGGGUGCCUGGCAGCCUGUGAGAACACAGCUCUAGCUGCUGCGGUUUCCCUGGAACCAGAACCCUACGGAUGCCGUUGAGAUGCUGGCUGAGCCGUUCUUCCACCGCCUGCCUCGGUUCCACGUCGCUGAGUCCCACCUCCUGGGAGCCGUGGAUGCUGAGAAUAUCAUCAGGAGACCCUCAGCAUUGUGCUGAGUUUAGAUUCACCAGGGACCUUCUCAGCUGGUAAAUCCCACUUGGAUUGGGAGCCUCAGAUUGAGAGCGCCCCAGGGCAGGGCCCGUUGGGUCUGACUCGGCUCCCCCAGCCCCGAUGCUGGUCUGUUUUGGAGGAGGGCUCUGAACUCCACUUGACAACCAGGGGGCAGGGAAGGAGUCGCCUGGAGUCUGUGAUGAGGUUCUCAGCUGAGGCUCUCAACCCACGGUCCCAACACUUCCCCCCGCCCCCCAGCCUCUUCCUACAAUUUGACACAGUUGUCAACAUCCCUUUUUUAUAAGGAAUAUUUUGUAAACACCCCUUUACUCUUCUGAAAUGAAAUGUAUACAUAACAGAACUGACCUGUGUUACCUAUAUAAAAGAAAAGUUACUUAUAACAAAGUAAGUUAAAAUAAUAGGCUUUUAAAUAUAUAAAUACACUGUCCAACCACACUAGCAGAAUCAAUGAAAUAGAUGCUGGCACUUAUGUGUGGAAUCGUCAUAAAUGUAUGUGUGGUUUUGUGAUGUGAUGUUUUGC